GGGAAUGUGACUUAAAUUCCACAGCAAGUGGCACAUAGGCAUGUACACACAGGGUCAUACGUCCUGUCUUCAGUUAUUUUGCUUAUUUUUUCAACUUAAUUAUGUUCUCUGUGGUUGAGGACAUGCUUAAUAUUCCUUUUAUUUUUAUAGUUCCUACCAUAACCUUACACAUUAGAUAACUAUGUUAAAAAUAGGAAUUGCUGAUAAACAGUGAAGGCUUUAGAAAAGUAAUGCUUUAUUUAAUUCUCAGUACCAUUGUUGACAUAUAGUGGCUGAGUUUGUGGAAGGUGCAGCCUACAUGGACUUUGAGGGAUUGUUUUAUUCACCCAAGUGUUUUACAGAAACCUAGCAUUGGCAUGAUAUAAAAUAUAUAGUCUAUUUAAUUUGUAAUAAAAUUAAAUAUUUCUCAAUAAUUAUUGUCAUUAAUAUUAUUGUUAUCCUGUUUUCAUGUGAAUGUAUCCUUUGCAUGUAAUGAUUUUCAGUAGGAUGCUAGUAAAACACAGCCUCCUAGGAAAGAUGAAUCAGAAUCUCAUGUAUGGUAGUGGUAUAAGGGAGAAAGGAAGAAAAUUAUAGUUCAGAAAAUAUUCAGGAUCUUUUUUUUAAUGUUUAUUUUUUAGUUGUAGUUGGACACAAUACUUUUUUUUAAAAUUUUUUUAUUGUUGGUUGUUCAAAACAUUACAUAGUUCUUGAUAUAUCAUAUUUCACACUUUGAUUCAAGUGGGUUAUGAACUCCCAUUUUUACCCCGUAUACAAAUUGCAGAAUCACAUCAGUUACACAUCCAUUGAUUUACAUAUUGCCAUACUAGUGUCUGUUGUAUUCUGCUGCCUUUCCUAUCC
rnacentral:lncRNA from 1 species